rnacentral:lncRNA from 1 species
CUGAUACUCUCCUUAGUAUCACCUUGGGCAACCCUUUUCGGGAAAACUUCAUUAAGUAGACGUUGUCCUGGAAUGUGUGAGUGCUCCUGGCUGAGAAUGGGGUUUGAAGAACAGAAACAAGUACCCGGAGCCAAGAAGAAAGUCUGAAUCCAGGAGGUCCCGAGCACAUAUGCGCACAUAUGCAAUCACCAGAUAAAGCAGGCAAGGGUUUCUUUUUUCCUGUGGAAGCAUCGCAAAAAAGUUCAACUUCUCAGGUGUCCUUUAAUGGUUGGUGCUCCUGCUCAUAUCACACCAGGUUACAGGAAUUUUAGGAUUUUUGGAACGGCCUUUUCUACCUCCCUCAGGAUGAUUCCAGCAUGCUACAGAAGAGCCUGAGAACUAAGGUCCCGAAUCUGUUAAAAUGCUUUGAAGGAAGUUGGACUGAACUGAUCGAAUAGUCAGAAUGAAG